rnacentral:tRNA from 1 species
UUACAAAUAAGUUAAUAAAACUAUUGAACUCAUAAUUCAAAAUUAUAAUUUAUAUAUUUUGUAAA